rnacentral:rRNA from 1 species
UACGAAGGGGGCUAGCGUUGUUCGGAAUCACUGGGCGUAAAGCGCACGUAGGCGGAUCUUUAAGUCAGGGGUGAAAUCCCGAGGCUCAACCUCGGAACUGCCUUUGAUACUGGGGAUCUCGAGUCCGGGAGAGGUGAGUGGAACUGCGAGUGUAGAGGUGAAAUUCGUAGAUAUUCGCAAGAACACCAGUGGCGAAGGCGAGUCCCUGGACAACUUCUGACGCUGAGGCACGAAAGCUAGGGGAGCAAACAGGG